ACACACAGAAAGAGUUGUGAUCCCUCCGUGUCCUUGAGAGGAUAUUCUCCCUGCCAGGACAUGAAUGCAGGAAGCUCUCUGCUCUCCCAAUGAACCUUUUUAGCUCAACUGCGUUAGGAGACUUCAGCAUUUUAAGCCGAGAGGACUGCACUACCUGCUUGGAACUCCAGAGAGUGCACAGAGACAGCUAGUGACGGUAAAGAUGAUGCUACCAGCUUCCUUGAAGCUCCUAGCGCCACCGACCAGCAUUAGCCUGGCAGCAGCAACGUUUGCGGAAUUUCUGAAUGGAGAAAGCAGGGAAGUCUAACAUACAAGUCAUUAUGGGCCAGGGUCUCCACUGCUCUUAGCACCAAAGAGGACCUAAAAUGGUACAUAAAUCUUUGAUGGACUUCUGCAUUGGGUGGAUUUAUAUGGGAGGCCUCAAAUGAGAUCAGACCCCCAACUGUGCUGUGCACUUGAAAGCCACAGUUUCUGCCUCAAAGAGUGUACAGUCUAAGCAGCCAAAGGAAGCUUCAUUUUACAAAUGAGGAACUGAGACACAGAGACGGGACCAAUGUGUCUGUGGCUCAGGCAAGAAGUGAACCCAGAUCCCCUGUCACAUGUUCUAACUACAGGGCCAACCUGGCUCCCUACACAGCUGUCAAUCCAGCCUUCCUUGGAAAUGUAAACCUAAAUGCCAAGCUGAAGGUUUGCAAAGGAGAAACCUGUGCAUCAAGUGAAACACUUGGAAAGAGCACUGAGUGGGCUGGCUGUAGAAAGC